rnacentral:rRNA from 1 species
GAUGAACGCUGGCGGCGUGCUUAACACAUGCAAGUCGAACGGAAAGGCCCUGCUUUUGUGGGGUGCUCGAGUGGCGAACGUGUGAGUAUCACGUGAGUAACCGGCCCUCGACUUGGGGAGAACUUCAGGAAACCGUGCGUAAUGGCGGAUAGGAGGUCCUGCGGCAGGGUGGGGGUUGGAAAGUGUCGGCGGUUGGGGAUGGACGCGCGGCUUAUCAGCUUGUUGGUGGGGUAGUGGCUUACCAAGGCUUUGACGGGUAGCCGGCCUGAGAGGGUGACCGGCCACAUUGGGACUGAGAUACGGCCCAGACUCCUACGGGAGGCAGCAGUGGGGAAUAUUGCACAAUGGGCGGAAGCCUGAUGCAGCAACGCCGCGUGCGGGAUGACGGCCUUCGGGUUGUAAACCGCUUUCGCCUGUGACGAAGCGUGAGUGACGGUAAUGGGUAAAGAAGCACCGGCUAACUCCGUG